rnacentral:rRNA from 1 species
CCUACGGGUGGCAGCAGUGAGGAAUAUUGGUCAAUGGACGAGAGUCUGAACCAGCCAAGUAGCGUGAAGGAUGACUGCCCUAUGGGUUGUAAACUUCUUUUAUAUGAGAAUAAAAUGUUCCACGUGUGGGAUUUUGUAUGUACCAUAUGAAUAAGGAUCGGCUAACUCCGUGCCAGCAGCCGCGGUAAUACGGAGGAUCCAAGCGUUAUCCGGAUUUAUUGGGUUUAAAGGGAGCGUAGGUGGAUUGUUAAGUCAGUUGUGAAAGUUUGCGGCUCAACCGGAAAAUUGCAGUUGAAACUGGUAGUCUGGAGUACAGGAGAGGUGGGCGGAAUUCGUGGUGUAGCGGUGAAAUGCUUAGAUAUCACGAAGAACUCCGAUUGCGAAGGCAGCUCACUGGACUGCAACUGACACUGAGGCUCGAAAGUGUGGGGAUCAAACAGGAUUAGAUACCCCAGUAGUC